rnacentral:rRNA from 1 species
ACGGGUGAGUAAUACAUCGGAACGUAUCCUGGAGUGGGGGAUAGCCCGGCGAAAGCCGGAUUAAUACCGCAUACGCUCUGAGGAGGAAAGCGGGGGACCUUCGGGCCUCGCGCUCAAGGGGCGGCCGAUGGCGGAUUAGGUAGUUGGUGGGGUAAAGGCCUACCAAGCCGACGAUCCGUAGCUGGUCUGAGAGGACGACCAGCCACACUGGGACUGAGACACGGCCCAGACUCCUACGGGAGGCAGCAGUGGGGAAUUUUGGACAAUGGGGGCAACCCCGAUCCAGCAAUGCCGCGUGUGUGAAGAAGGCCUUCGGGUUGUAAAGCACUUUUGUCCGGAAAGAAAUCAUCGGGGCCAAUACCCCUGGUGGAUGACGGUACCGGAAGAAUAAGCACCGGCUAACUACGUGCCAGCAGCCGCGGUAAUACGUAGGGUGCGAGCGUUAAUCGGAAUUACUGGGCGUAAAGCGUGCGCAGGCGGUGCUGUAAGACCGAUGUGAAAUCCCCGGGCUUAACCUGGGAACUGCAUUGGUGACUGCAGCGCUGGAGUAUGGCAGAGGGGGGUGGAAUUCCACGU